GAGCCUCAGGUUGGGCUUGAUGCGGAUACGGCAGGGGCCUGGUUCUCAAGGUGUCUCCACUCCUCACUGCUGCCCAGUGCUUGCUGUACCAAUAGGUGCCCCACGAGGGCCUCCCAGAAACGUCCCGAUUAGCGCUCACAGCAAGAAUGGUCUAAGUAGCACUGGUCGGUUACAGUAAUAAGACACAGAGACGCGUCAGAGGUCACUCAACUCAGUAAGAGUAUACAUGGAGUCAGAGCCAAAGUCGUAUGGUCGCAAUCACUGGCCAGAAGUCCCUACACUCGGAGGAAAGAGGCUGGUUCGCUGUAUUCGAAGCGAAACCGCCUUUGGCUGAGUUUGUCUGGUACACACGCGGGGUGGGCCGAUCAGAGAAGGGCCCUAAAGGAGGUGGCUUAGUCAGGACUCAAAGGACUAAAAUCCUCAUUCUGCAAAUACUUCAACGAGUACCUGCCAUGCGCUCUGUUGCAUGCGCCGGGGACAGAACUGAACGAAGUCCUCGCACUUGUGGACAUGCGUGGCAGGGGUAAUACCAGGCCUCCUGUACCUUCAGAGUUGUUCUGCUCCUCCUGCUCUGGGGUUUCUCUCCCAGGUGCAAAUUCCUAAACUUCUGGGAAAUAAAAAGGAAAGGCCUUGCUCCAACACACCCUGCAGGGGUUGAGGACGCAGUUUAAGGUGGUGUGUGUUAGCACUUGCAAGGCACACGCACACACACACACUGCACCCUCCUAUUCUGGAAGUCCUUCCUAACGUCUACCCAGCAUUUCUUCUGCUUCCACAGACUUUCCUUCAUCCGAUUUCACUACUCCUUCCGUAGCGGUAAGCCUCCGGCCGGCCGCGCCUGGCCCUUUAAGGCUGCCUGCUUCCCCCACGUGCCGUUUGGUUGGGCGGGCGACGCUGACGCACGCGUGACGUCAAUGGCAGCUGGCGGAGUCUGGGCACGAGGAGCGAAGUUGAAUGGGGGUGGGGGACCCAGGAAAGAAGGCGGCUCAUUUGCAUUUAAAGGGGCCACUCCGAGUUAGCGAUCAGGGCUUUAAAGAAAUGUCGGCAAACUUUCCGUCCUGGGCUGCCGAGCCAGAAAAAGGCGUGGUGCAGGAUCUGGGACCCAAGGUCUGAAGGCUGCAUUCCCAAGCCUGUUCCUAAGAAGUCUUUUCCAGCAGCUUUGGAUGUCUCCAGUCUCAACAUUCUGCUUUCCCGACGUCGGAAACAGCCAGAAAAUAAACACCCUGAUGACUAAACGGUUUCUCCAGCUAGAGCCUGGGGAAGCACUAAAAAUAGAGGCCACAAGUGAGGGGAGGUUCCCCACUGGUGGAGGCACUUUCCCAUCCUGCGACUGCCACAACCUCAACCCUGGCACAGGCUCUGGCUUUCCAAGUCCUUGGGGAAGGGAUGGAUGUGCUCCUCCUACCUACCUUGAAGUCUUUGGGGCAAGCUAGCCCUGCCUGGCAGGGAGCCCCGACAUCCUCUGCUGUUGGCCCCAUCUCCCAUACCAACAAGGAACUGAGAAGCUGCAUUUGGGGACAAAGCGGGACACUAAAAAUCAGGCUUCCUGAAAGAGGGACCAGGUAGAAGUGUUGGAAACUGAGGCCAAGGAAAGAGGAGUAAGCUGGCUUCCUGUCCAAAGAGAUCCGACCUAUCAGUAGAACAAUCUGCGGAACUUGCCUCCCGGGUAGGCCUAGGGGGUCUU
ensembl:lncRNA